GGUCAAUGACUUUUAGGUUCAUGUGCUGGAGUUGGAGGUGGUGCAAAAGUUGAAAGUAAGAGGUAUGGAUUCUUUCAGCACAAUUAUCAAAUGUUAAUUUUACAUAUCGUGAUCCCAUCAAGAAUUUCGAUGAAUCAAAAGUGGAUGGUGUGGUUGCAAGACUACUCAAAGUGAAGGAUAGCUCAACAAUGCUGUAUAGUAUUACAAUGGCUGCAACUGUCGGAAAGUUGUAUAAUCUUGUCGUUGAUACGGAAAAUACUUGAGAACAACGCUACAAAAUGGAAACCUACAAAGAAGAGAGUAAGUUUCAUGCCUUUAAAUAAAAUCCAUUCCAAUGUGGUGUCGCCUAGAGUUCAGCAUGCUGCUGCCAGAGAGGCAGGAAAGGAGAAUACAGAACUGGCACUUAUUUAUUUUUAGUUGAUUAUGACGAGGAAGUGAAGGUUCUAAUGUACAACUACUUUUUGUUACAAUGCGUAAAAUAUGGAGCGUUAUUCUUUUUUGAAAAGUCCCGCCACAUGCUAGAUAGCAAUUGUGUAAAUAUCAAUUGUGUGAUGCGGGAGAUCAUCUGUUUGAGGCAAUGGUGGAGGCCGAGUCAAAAGACUAUUUGCGAUCGAAGCCGGUAGACCUUGAACACCGCUUUUGCA